GUGAAUCAUCAAAUUUUUGAACGCAAAUUGCACUCUCUUCGGAGAGUAUGCCUGUUUGAGGGUCAGCCUAAAAAAAAAUCGACAUGGUCGCUGUUUCGCGGUGACAUUGGCCGGAAAUUGGGUCAUUUUAAACCUUUGGGUUUUAAGCGGUUUAAAAUUUCCUUUACGAUUCCACGAACGUUUCUAAGAUUUACUUCUUAUACGUGUAAGGGAUACGAUUUUUAUUAGACGG
rnacentral:misc_RNA from 1 species